rnacentral:miRNA from 1 species
UGUACUUCAUCAGUGCUCUG